rnacentral:misc_RNA from 1 species
GAUGAAGAACGCAGCGAAAUGCGAUACGUAAUGUGAAUUGCAGAAUUCAGUGAAUCAUCGAAUCUUUGAACGCAUAUUGCGCUCUUUGGUAUUCCGAAGAGCAUGCUUGUUUGAGUAUCAGUAAACACCUCAAAGACUUCAAUUUGUUUUGAAUGGCUUUGGACUUGAGCAAUCCCAACACCAGUCUUUACGAUCGGUGGAGGGUUGCUUGAAAUGCAGGUGCAGCUGGACAUUCUCCUGAGCUAAAAGCAUAUUUAUUUAGUCCCGUCAAACGGAUUAUUACUUUUGCUGCAGCUAACAUAAAGGGAGUUUGACCGUAUUGGCUGACUGAUGCAGGAUUUCACAAGGGUCGGCAACGAUUCUUGUAAAACUCGAUCUCAAAUCAAGUAAGACUACCCGCUGAACUUAAGCAUAUCAUAAGCGGAGGA